UUUAAUUCGAAGCAACGCGAAGAACCUUACCAAAUCUUGACAUCCUUUGACCCUUCUAGAGAUAGAAGUUUCCCCUUCGGGGGACAAAGUGACAGGUGGUGCAUGGUUGUCGUCAGCUCGUGUCGUGAGAUGUUGGGUUAAGUCCCGCAACGAGCGCAACCCUUAAGCUUAGUUGCCAUCAUUAAGUUGGGCACUCUAAGUUGACUGCCGGUGACAAACCGGAGGAAGGUGGGGAUGACGUCAAAUCAUCAUGCCCCUUAUGAUUUGGGCUACACACGUGCUACAAUGGACAAUACAAAGGGCAGCGAAACCGCGAGGUCAAGCAAAUCCCAUAAAGUUGUUCUCAGUUCGGAUUGUAGUCUGCAACUCGACUACAUGAAGCUGGAAUCGCUAGUAAUCGUAGAUCAGCAUGCUA
rnacentral:rRNA from 1 species